rnacentral:lncRNA from 1 species
CUCUGGAAUAAGCAGGUUGCCAUGAAGCCUGCCAUCUCUCCAGGAGGGUUUUGGGACACUGGCUUUCAUCCCAGCAGGAUCACACAUGGAACAGAAUACCGGAGAGAAAGUGACCAAGACAUGGUGCAGCCCUUCAACUAGAGGAGGUUUUGGACGGAAGGCUGGGUAUGUGAGAUGCUGUUUUGCUUAGGAGUCCCCGGCAUGCAGUAGAGCCUCGCUGGGGGAAAUGUCAGCUUGGACCAUGGGCGCCCGAGGUCUGGACAAGCGAGGAAGUUUCUUUAAGCUCAUUGACACGAUCGCCUCGGAGAUCGGAGAACUGAAACGGGAGAUGGUGCAGACAGAUGUCAGCCUGGAAAAUGGCCUGGAACCUUCUGAAACCUACAGGUGAUCAAAGACGAAGCUAGGUGCUGGUUUCAAGUUGGGGGACUCAGAGAAGCUUGUGAAAGAAGAGGGAUGACAUCCCGUCACUCCUUCAAAGAUUGGGCUUUGGGAGUGUGGUGACACGACUGGAUGAAAUUCUCUGUAGGAGGUGGGAGUGGCCUAGAAGCUCCUUGCCUGCUUGUUUAUUUUAAUUGCUUUGAAGGCACUUGAACUUUGUACCUUCUUGAUUCCUCCUGGCACCAGAACUGGGAAAUUGUCAGUGCCAUGUCACAGUGAUGGAAAGAGUAACACAGCGGACCUUCAAUGCAUGAAGUAGAAUUCAGUAUAGCCCUCGCAGUCUCCAGAAGGUUUAAAGGGGAGCAACUAAAGAGGAUGGACCCAUUUUGCAUUCUCAGGUCAGAAAAAUCCCCAGACCUACAUAGCUAUUAACCUGAAAAGCCAUUAGGGGUUUUAUAACUGAAUGAGGUUGUCAAUGACUGUGUCAAUUUGGCAUGCUGCAUACGCUUUGAAUAUGUAGGAGGGGCUGGUUUUAAACUGGAAAAUUGUCUUUACAAGGGUCAGAGGUGAGGUUAUAGGUUGAAGAUCAAGCCUCUCAGCUCUUUGAUAUAGCCUUUGCUUUUGGCAGAAAAGCAGAACGUCAUUGCUACAGAAUGAUGGACGUGUUGGUUGGUGCCUAGAAAACGAGGUUCAUCACCCUCCCCCUUCCCUUCUUGAGGCAGCGUGGAAUAGUACAAAGAUAAGAUUUAUGGUGUAAGUCUGCUCAAACAAACUAAGUAACACUGAUUGCCCAGGCAAGUUUCAAACCAGCCUGACUUGUUCUCUGCCCAAAACUUCAGGAGGAAAAAAAAAAAAAAAACACCAAGCAGGGAGGC